UGUCACACAGGACGUCAGCACUGCAACAGUGAAGCACCGUGCCUUGUGUGCAUAGGCAUAGAUUUUGGGGGAGAAUGCAGGGGAUCUGUGUUUCCCCCCUCUAGUUGCAAGACAU